rnacentral:lncRNA from 1 species
GAGGAGGCCAAGAAGCAGGCAGAUGUUGAAGAAGAGGAGAGCGGUGUCCUGGCCUGGAUCAAGGGCCUCAUGAACCGGUUCUAGAGCUGCCUCAUUCGAGCGAUCCGUCCACUCACAGUCACAGCCAUGGCUGCUUGCCUUUUUACUAUGAGAACGUAUCUUGUGCGCAAGGAGCGUUGGUGCUCCCAUGAGCAAAAUCAAUCCAGACCACAUCCUCCACAUCCAACGGUGUUGUGUCAGGGGGGUUUUGUAAAAUGUUCUUUGCAACUCUGUACAUUUUACAAAAACCCCCUGACGCAACACCGUUGGAUGUGGAGGGUGUGGUCUGGAUUGAUUUUGCUCAUGGGAGCAGCAGAGCUCCUUGCUCAUAAGAUACGGUGUCUUUUACUAUUUGCCAUCGGCCAUCCCGCGUGCAUACUGCAGUGUCUUGGCACGGCUGAAUUUACUUGGUGUUAUUAGUGUGUUUCUAUCCACGGUGUGUCGUCUUAUAUACGCACUUGUAUUGCUAAGGGCUAGUUUGAGAGUCAUAAAACCGAAGGGGAUUGUAGGAGCACAAAUACUUUUCUUAUUAAUUUUAAAUAAGAAGGGGAUUUUCUUCACUCCAAUUUCCUCCGGUAUUUUAGCUCCCAAACUGCUAGCCCUAAGAGUUCCAAAACCAUCUCCUCUCAACUCUGAUGCUAGAUGUUUGUUUUGCCUGCCACUACCACUGUGUUAUCUGGUUGGUUCAGCACCAUAUGUGGCACCUAAAAAGGUCAUACGGUCUGCACCAUGGACGGUCCGCGUGCUAUCCCGGUGCACGGUCCGCGUGCUACCCUGGACUGUCCGCGAUUAGAUUAGAUCGGACGAGAUAUCUCACUUUUCCGUGUGUAUUUAUCCAUCUAAACACGUGGAGUUUGUUGAGAGACGUCUAAAAACGGGUUUAGAGCUUCCCUAUAUAUAUGAAGGGGUAUGACGAUUGCAC